GAAAGACAGAGGGAGAGAGGGACAGAUUUUGUGUUAUAACCUUAGGGAUGCUUAGUGUGAGCACUCAGGUCGCAUCAGAGCAUCGGGCCGUAUAGUGUGAGACCCUGCAUUGUGACCUACGAACUUCUAACCCCUGCGAGUCAAUCGUACAGUUUGAGCAGGCGCUGAAUAACGCCACUGAAAAAAUCGCACAGCGUAUGCCCAAGGCUCCGCCGAUGCUGAUGGAAAUGGACAAAACGUUAAGAAACGCAAAGCCAGAGGAACAGACUAACACACACUAAUGCUGUUUUUGACCUCUAUUUAUGCCCUCAGUAGGCGUGACCUUACGGCCGCACUUCAAAGCACGGCCGCACUUCAAAGCACUCAGCCUUUUGACGCGUCACCUAAUCUUCGUUCUAAUGGCGCAACUCCUCCCAGUCAUUCAUAAUCCGACCUCCGCGUUUGCACUCGCUGCCUACAAGAGCUCCCAAAUGUGAACAUCACUGAUGUUCAUCGGAUUUGCAGAGUGACGACAACCCCCGCCAGCAUGUUAGAUAAAGGAUUUAAGUUAUAUGCUGCAUCACACAACUACGAAGAUUAAGCUUCUGGAUUCAUCGCCGGUGGUACUGACACAUAGCCAGUGCUCCUGUGUGGCAGGUGCUGUUAUGUGCAAUCACACAGUGGCACUGCUCUUCCAAACAGCACACUACUCACAACUCAGAGUGCCGGUUAUCCCCCUGUGCAUAGCUGCACCGAAUCUGAACAGCAAUGGCACAAGCCACGGACAGUGGGUGUGAAGCCAGGACCUAUCAACUCUAUGAUCUUCACUAAGCCGGUACCAAAUAGGAUGGCCCAGACUGGAGCACGGAGUGGAUUCUACAGAGGCACUGUGGGUCCAUUACCAGAUCCCUGACCUGACAAGCCCCUUGUGGAAAGUGCCUUUGGGCUGGUGAAGGAGGGCAGUGUUCUGCCAUGUCAGCAGCCGGUUUUGACAACCCGGUACAUCACACUACACCGUGAUGCACCACCAACACCGCACUUGCCUCUGGAGGGGUAUGACAUCAAGGAAACCCUGCUCGCUCAGACAGCCUGUGAUAUUUUCUCAAACCGCUGCGCUGAACAAGUUUCCAAAGAACAUGCUGUGUGACACAAUAAAUAUCCUUUAACCUGUUAACCUGUGGCUUCUGGAAGAAACUCGGUUACACACAAUCUUAUAUCUCUGGCAUGGCAUGGCAAGGCAAUAUCAGGUACAUGCAAUUUGAAACCUGACAUUCCAGAGCAAAGCAUGAAGCACACAGCACGUGGUCAACG
ensembl:lncRNA